rnacentral:rRNA from 1 species
AGCGUACACGGUGGAUGCCUUGGCAGUCAGAGGCGAUGAAAGACGUAUUAACUUGCGAUAAGCCCAGAUUAGGUAGUAAAAACCAUUUGAGUCUGGGAUUUCUGAAUGGGGAAACCCACGUGCAUAAGCACGUAUCGCUACGUGAAUACAUAGCGUAGCGAGGCGAACCGGGAGAACUGAAACAUCUAAGUACCCCGAGGAAGAGAAAUCAACCGAGAUCCCGAAAGUAGCGGCGAGCGAAAUUGGGUUAGCCCUUAAGCUUUUAAUGAGACAGGUGAAGGCUCUGGAAAGUGCCGCGAUACAGGGUGAUAGCCCCGUAACCGACAUCUCAUCAUCAGUGAAAACGAGUAAGGCGGGACACGUGAUAUCCUGUCUGAAUAUGGGGGGACCAUCCUCCAAGGCUAAAUACUACUGACUGACCGAUAGUGAACCAGUACCGUGAGGGAAAGGCGAAAAGAACCCCUGUGAGGGGAGUGAAAUAGAACCUGAAACCGUGUACGUACAAGCAGUAGGAGCACCUUCGUGGUGUGACUGCGUACCUUUUGUAUAAUGGGUCAGCGACUUAUAUUCAGUGGCAAGGUUAACCGUUUAGGGGAGCCGUAGGGAAACCGAGUCUUAACUGGGCGUUCAGUCUCUGGAUAUAGACCCGAAACCAGGUGAUCUAGCCAUGGGCAGGUUGAAGAUUGAGUAACAUCAAUUGGAGGACCGAACCGACUAAUGUUGAAAAAUUAGCGGAUGACUUGUGGCUAGGGGUGAAAGGCCAAUCAAACCUGGAGAUAGCUGGUUCUCCCCGAAAUCUAUUUAGGUAGAGCCUCGGACGAAUACUACUGGGGGUAGAGCACUGUUAAGGCUAGGGGGUCAUCCCGACUUACCAACCCUUUGCAAACUCCGAAUACCAGUAAGUACUAUCCGGGAGACACACGGCGGGUGCUAACGUCCGUCGUGGAGAGGGAAACAACCCAGACCGCCAGCUAAGGUCCCAAAGUUAUAGUUAAGUGGGAAACGAUGUGGGAAGGCUCAGACAGCCAGGAUGUUGGCUUAGAAGCAGCCAUCAUUUAAAGAAAGCGUAAUAGCUCACUGGUCGAGUCGGCCUGCGCGGAAGAUGUAACGGGGCUAAACUAUACACCGAAGCUGCGGCAAUACAGUUUACUGUAUUGGGUAGGGGAGCGUUCUGUAAGCGGUUGAAGGUGCGUUGUAAAGCGUGCUGGACGUAUCAGAAGUGCGAAUGCUGACAUGAGUAACGAUAAAGCGGGUGAAAAACCCGCUCGCCGGAAGACCAAGGGUUCCUGUCCAACGUUAAUCGGGGCAGGGUAAGUCGACCCCUAAGGCGAGGCCGAAAGGCGUAGUCGAUGGGAAACGGGUUAAUAUUCCCGUACUUCUUACAAUUGCGAUGGGGGGACGGAGAAGGCUAGGUGGGCUUGGCGACGGUCGUCCAAGUUCAAGUAUGUAGGCUGUAUUCUUAGGCAAAUCCGGGAAUACACUAGGCUGAGAUACGAUGUCGAGCUACUACGGUAGUGAAGCCAUUGAUGCCAUGCUUCCAGGAAAAGCCUCUAAGCUUCAGAUUGUAAGGAAUCGUACCCCAAACCGACACAGGUGGUCGAGUAGAGAAUACUAAGGCGCUUGAGAGAACUCGGGUGAAGGAACUAGGCAAAAUGGUACCGUAACUUCGGGAGAAGGUACGCUCCUAGCGGUGAUGAGACUUGCUCUCUAAGCUGCCGGGAGUCGCAGAUACCAGGUGGCUGCAACUGUUUAUUAAAAACAUAGCACUGUGCUAAAUCGUAAGAUGACGUAUACGGUGUGACGCCUGCCCGGUGCUUGAAGGUUAAUUGAUGGGGUUAGACUUCGGUCGAAGCUCUUGAUCGAAGCCCAAGUAAACGGCGGCCGUAACUAUAACGGUCCUAAGGUAGCGAAAUUCCUUGUCGGGUAAGUUCCGACCUGCACGAAUGGCGUAAUGAUGGCCACGCUGUCUCCACCCGAGACUCAGUGAAAUUGAAAUCGCUGUGAAGAUGCAGUGUACCCGCGGCUAGACGGAAAGACCCCGUGAACCUUUACUACAGCUUGGCACUGAACAUUGACCCUACAUGUGUAGGAUAGGUGGGAGCCUUUGAAGCACGUACGCCAGUAUGUGUGGAGGCAAUCUUGAAAUACCACCCUUGUAUGCUUGAUGUUCUAACGUUGGUCCCUUAUCGGGAUUGCGGACAGUGCCUGGUGGGUAGUUUGACGGGGCGGUCUCCUCCCAAAGAGUAACGGAGGAGCACGAAGGUGGGCUAAUCACGGUUGGACAUCGUGAGGUUAGUGCAAUGGCAUAAGCCCGCUUGACUGCGAGAAUGACAAUUCGAGCAGGUGCGAAAGCAGGUCAUAGUGAUCCGGUGGUUCUGAAUGGAAGGGCCAUCGCUCAACGGAUAAAAGGUACUCCGGGGAUAACAGGCUGAUACCGCCCAAGAGUUCAUAUCGACGGCGGUGUUUGGCACCUCGAUGUCGGCUCAUCACAUCCUGGGGCUGAAGUCGGUCCCAAGGGUAUGGCUGUUCGCCAUUUAAAGUGGUACGCGAGCUGGGUUUAGAACGUCGUGAGACAGUUCGGUCCCUAUCUGCCGUGGGCGUUGGAUGAUUGAAGGGGGCUGCUCCUAGUACGAGAGGACCGGAGUGGACGAACCUCUGGUGUUCGGGUUGUCACGCCAGUGGCAUUGCCCGGUAGCUAAGUUCGGAAUCGAUAAACGCUGAAAGCAUCUAAGCGUGAAGCGAGCCCUGAGAUGAGUCAUCCCUGAUACUUUAAGUAUCCUAAAGGGUUGU